GCUUGCUUCCACCACACAUAUAGUAAAAUUGGAAUGAUGCAGAGAAGAUUAGCAUGGCUCCUACGCAAGGAUGACACGCAAAUUCGUCAAGCGUUCCAUAUUUUC